AAGUCGUAACAAGGUUUCCGUAGGUGAACCUGCGGAAGGAUCAUUACAAAUAAAUGCUGGUAGGAAGUGGGGUCUUGAUCUGUAAGUGGUAGAGCGAACAGUUCCCGGCUGCCUCCCGAAAUGUCUUACAUGUCCCCCAUCAGCCUGAAGGCCGAAUUACAACCCUUGAUUAAUCUACACUUGUUGCUUUGGGGUGCUCAAGUGCCCCAGAGGACACAAACUCCUUGCAUUUAGUGAACGUCUGAGUACUAUAUAAUUUUAAAAAAC
rnacentral:misc_RNA from 1 species